AGGAACCUGCCUUGGAGAGGGGAAUAACACAGUGAAAAUUGUGCUAAUACCGCAUGAUGCAGUUGGGUCGCAUGGCUCUGACUGCCAAAGAUUUAUCGCUCUGAGAUGGCCUCGCGUCUGAUUAGCUAGUUGGUGGGGCAACGGCCCACCAAAGCGACGAUCAGUAGCCGGACUGAGAGGUUGACCGGCCACAUUGGGACUGAGACACGGCCCAGACUCCUACGGGAGGCAGCAG
rnacentral:rRNA from 1 species